CCUACGGGAGGCUGCAGUCGAGAAUCAUUCACAAUGGGGGAAACCCUGAUGGUGCGACGCCGCGUGGGGCAAUGAAGGUCUUCGGAUUGUAAACCCCUGUCAUGUGGGAGCAAAUUAAAAAGAUAGUACCACAAGAGGAAGAGACGGCUAACUCUGUGCCAGCAGCCGCGGUAAUACAGAGGUCUCAAGCGUUGUUCGGAAUCACUGGGCGUAAAGCGUGCGUAGGCUGUUUCGUAAGUCGUGUGUGAAAGGCGCGGGCUCAACCCGCGGACGGCACAUGAUACUGCGAGACUAGAGUAAGGGAGGGGGAACCGGAAUUCUCGGUGUAGCAGUGAAAUGCGUAGAUAUCGAGAGGAACACUCGUGGCGAAGGCGGGUUCCUGGACAUUAACUGACGCUGAGGCACGAAGGCCAGGGGAGCGAAAGGGAUUAGAUACCCUUGUAGUC
rnacentral:rRNA from 1 species